rnacentral:rRNA from 1 species
ACCGGCGCACGGGUGAGUAACGCGUAUCCAACCUACCCUUUACUACGGGAUAACCCGGCGAAAGUCGGACUAAUACCGUAUGUAGUCCAUUGACGGCAUCCGAUUUGGACCAAAGGCUUAGCGGUAAAGGAUGGGGAUGCGUCCGAUUAGCUUGACGGCGGGGUAACGGCCCACCGUGGCCACGAUCGGUAGGGGUUCUGAGAGGAAGGUCCCCCACACUGGAACUGAGACACGGUCCAGACUCC